CUCAUUUUAUUCCCGGUAAAAACACCCCAACCCUCUCAAACACAAAACCUUCUCCAACAUAAGGGAGGCUUCAUCUUACUCCCUCGCAAGGAACCAUAACGAGUUCUGAAUGGAUUUCAUCUGGUGAAACCUUUCUCGUCCAUGGGAAGCAAUCGCUGCCUCUUCUCUUGCAAGAUCCCUAACCACGCAGUGGUUAGUUUGAAGCUGGAAAACAAAGUCACAUGUUAUCUUUUGGGAGUCUCUUUAAUAUUUCAACAAGGAGAGCAUUCGAUUCCAGGAGUUUCGGGAUAUCCAGGCCCAUGGUCCCAUCGUCUACAUGGAUAGUUCUGAAAAUUCUCAGGGAAAAGGAGAUUUUCUGUCUCAUUCUAUUUUCUAACUGAAAUGGUUACAUUUUGUUAGUGAUGAUUUUUCUUUCUUCUAUGUUCUGAAGAUGCUUACCAACUCAUCUGGUCUGUUGUCUGAUUGAACCCAGAGCUAAACUAUUUACCCUGACACAGUUCACUUGAUGAUCCUAAUCCAUGUGUUUGAAGCCUUUGAUAUCCAUAGUGGUGCUACAUUGUGCUUGUCUUUUGCUGCAUGUUGAGUUGUAUUGGAAUUGAAAUGCUGACUGGAAAUUGUAUCAACCGGCUAAGUGUUGUGUUCCUUAUCAAAGAAGGAGAAGUAUAUUGGAUUCCCAGGUCUAGAAGAGUCUGAUACACUAGUAUAAUCACAAGGUUCUCUUGGCAAGGGAAAGCAUUCAGAUAGGUUGGCCUUUAGCCGAACUUCAGUCCAAAAAUAUUUUAGGCAAAAUCAUUUCUUCAAUCUCCUUGCACUACUUUGUUGCUGUUCAGCCUAAAGUACAUUUCCAUACAUGUGGGACACAUUAGGAAGGUUUGUGGCAAGGUCCUCAUUGGGUAUUAUCUUUGAAGCAUGGUUUGUGGCACAGUCUUGUGGUUACUUGAAAAUUUCAAAUUCUACUUGAUGGGUCUUUAGCUUAAAUUGGUAAAGCGCUUGGAACAUCAGCAUGUCUCAAGCAUGUUCGAAGGGAUAGUGGUUCGAGUCCACCAAGACCUUUUUAUUCAAUUGUUCAUAGCAUGUCAAUCAAGGCAACCAUCCACACAAACAUUUUGGUUAUAAAUAGAGGGAAGCAAAAGAAGCAAUUUGCAAAUGGAGUGCUGCUGCUAGAAAACAAAAGAAGCCGUUUGCAAAUGGAGGGAAGCAAGAAAUCUUGGAAUGAUUAGAUUAUCUGUGGCGGUUUCUACUGCAAUUCCAACUAGCUUCUACCUUUCUUAAUCAGUUAAACAGCUAAGGAAUCUGUUAUGGGGUUGAUGGAGAAAAUGGUGGCUUAUACUCUCACUUGUCCAUAAUGCCACUAAAGUCUGAUGGUUCUUUGUAUCAUGGAAGCUCUUACCAAGUCACAUUAUGGAGAUCUGCUUCUGCUUCUGCUUCUAAUUAUUGUUUCUUUUGGGUCCUAAAUACUGUAAUCUGAGUGAAAGAAGAAUCAAUUGGCUCCUAUAAACAGUGUUCUGAGAGAAUUGCAUUGA